UUCAGAUCACUUUGUAGCUCAU
rnacentral:miRNA from 1 species